AACUUAAUACGGCAAAAUAAGAGAAAUCUUAUGACGCAAAGCUAUAGGGACUGUAAAAUGUCAGCCAGUUGCCUUA
rnacentral:ncRNA from 1 species